rnacentral:lncRNA from 1 species
UGACUCCUGGCAUAAAUCUUUCUCCUUCUUAAAUCGAAGUUCCUCCCAAAUCUGUGAAGAACCCUAAUCAAGAACCAUCUUCUCCAAGUUGAUUUCUGGCAAGUCUCACGCGAAGAUUUCGAAAAUCUACCCCAUUAUUUUAGAGGAAGAAGAAGACGUAAAUUCGAAAUGGGGAGUUUGGGGAAAGUAGUUUACACCUUGGGAUUUUGGAUUCGAGAGACGAGCCAAGCAAUGUAUUGUCUUGGCUGUCACCUCCAAAGAAAUUAUUACUUCCAACAACAACGUACGCCCAUUUACUUUCUUUUUUCUUAAAACCCCUGAUCACCCACUUCCUUUAUUUUAGUUUUUGAUCCACCUUUAUUUGUUCUUAAUGUAUUUUAGUGAGGAUGGAAAUUAUUGUUGGGCUUGAUAUUUAAACUCUUUAAUUAAUUGAUAUUGCUGAGUGGAAAACGGAGGAUAGGAAAAUGAUUUGCGGCAUGUCUAAAAAAUUGAACCUCUGUUGAAAAGAAUGAAAAUAUCGUACAAAAAUUGUUGGGGAAUAUACCGAUUAUGUGCAUAUUAUAUUCACAAAAAAAUAUACUGUUUAUAUUCACGAAAUCGAAAAAAGGUUUCGAUUUAUCGAAAUGGAGUUUGAGAAAUUAACCAAUGAUUAUCGAAUCUGAUCAUUUUCAUUCUUGAAUUAAAACGUGUGAUUCUUCAUAUCGAAUCUUAAGAUGAAUUUGCCUCAGGUGUUAACGGUUUUUUGACAAUCAUCUCCCAAGAUACAACGACCACGUCAAGCCAUAUGAGCACUCCAAAUGACUUCGAUCAGCGAACUCGAACGGAAUUCCCUCUCUACCAAGGAAAUGCAUGAAAAUGCUAUGGAAUUAGAAAGAAGAGAAUUACAAGAGGAGAAUGAAUGCUCAAUGCAAUUGGUGUAUCCAAAACCAUGUCCAUAGGGUUCUAUUUAUAGAUGUAGAAAGAGUGUAAAUGAAUUAGUGUGAGCCAAAACAUGCAUCAUUUCAAAAAGUUGUAACACUUGGCCAAAAUCUGCAUCAUUUCGAAAAGUUGAAACACUUCAUUUCUUCCAACUUUGAAUUGUAAUUUCUCAUUCAUCCGGAAUAGGUUUCGAGAUUUUAAAUAUACCACGACGAUCUACUCGACGAGUAUAAUAAGUUGAUCUAUUUACUUUUAUAAUUUGACCAUUGGAUCAAGUCCGAAUAUUUGGUCGAAGUUGACACGUAGUCACACCUUUUCAUUUUCUACUUUUAUACACCUUUUCAUUUUUCAAUUUUUGGUUAAUUAUUUGAACUAAUUCCAACAAAAAUAGAUAUUUUUUGGUGGCUGCAAUAGUGUACUUUAAAAUACUAUUCUGUAUUUUAUAGCAAGGUAUCUGAUCCUUUGUACUUGUAUUUUUUUUUCCCUCAGCUACUUGUAUUUUUUUUUUUUUUUUUUCACUUUUCUAAAAUUUUUUUGUGGCUGCAAUAGCAUAUUUUUAUUGUAGGAAGGAAUAAGGGGAUUUGUCAUAGUUGUAUGAAAUUGGGCCACUUCUUGUCGAAUUGCUGCACGAAGAAACCAUGCCCAUAAAGGAUUUGGGAGCUGCUAAUAAUCUGAAGAAACAUUUGUCAAGACAGUUUGCAAUGAAGGAUUUGGGAGCUGCCAAAUAAAUUCUUGGUAUCAGGAUCACCAGAGAUAGGGUCAAGGGUAUGUUGAAACUCUCACAAGCUGAGUAUGUGAAAAAGGUACUCAGUAGAUUUAACAUGGACAAGGCCAAAUCAGUCAGUACAUCGUUGGGAAGUCACUUCAGACUCAGCAAAGAUCAGUCACCAAAAUCAAAGGAGGAACAUGAUUACAUGGAUAAGGUUCCUUAUGCUUCGGCUAUUGGUUGUCUAAUGUAUGCUAUGGUCUGUAUAAAACCAGAUAUUGCACAUUCAGUGGGAGUUGUAAGUAGAUACAUGAGUAACUCGAGAAGACAACAUUAGGAGGCUGUGAAAUGGAUUUUGAGGUACCUAAAAGGCUCCACAGAAGCAUGUCUGUGUUUUACCGGAGAAAGUCUAGAGUUACGGGAUUUUGUUGAUGCUGUUUUGGCCGGAGAUGCUGAUAGUAGAAAGAGCACCACCGGCUUUGUUUACACUUUGGGUGGUACUGCCGUGUCGUUCCUACCUGCAAAAGACGGUAUCUUUAUCUACUACAGAAGCGGAGUAUGUUGCGGUGUCAGAAGCUUCAAAGGAGAUGAUUUGGCUACAAAACUUCUUGGAGGAAUUGGGCAAAGAGAAGUAGAAAGGUACUCUUUACAGCGAUAGUCAAAGUGCCAUAUUCCUUGCCAAGAAUCCGGCAUUUCAUUCCAGGACAAAGCACAUUCAGAUCAGGUAUCAUUUCAUUCGGUCCUUACUUGAUGAUGGUCAGUUGAUACUUGAAAAGAUUUGUGGAAGCAAGAACCCUGCUGAUAUGCUGACAAAGGGUGUUACACUUGAGAAACUGAAGUUAUGUGCAACUUCAGUUGGUCUUCAGGUUUGAAGGCAAGGGUCACAAGUUGCAGAGGUGGAGGAUAUUCUUUUCUAAGGCGGAUGGUGAUGCAUUGGUUGAUCUAGUCUCCAAGUGGGCCUUUUCUUGUGGAGCCUAGAUCAAGUCUGCCUAGGUCCAAAUCCAAGUUAUUAGGGCUUGUGUCUUUUACACGUAUUUUAGGUUGUAGAAUAUAUAUAUUCUUUUGUUUUUUUUUGUUUUUUUUUCAGCUUGUGUGGCUGUAGACAGAAUUUAAAAGAAUUCUGUGAGAACUCCAAAUAUGGGUCUGUGCGUGUGUAAUUCCUCAAGGCAAUAAAAUGCUCUGCAGUUUGUGAA